GGCUUGGGAAUAGGAUUGUACUUGCCGGCGGAGCCCGGUCGUUGUGGCUGGGCUGACGGUGGGACGAGAGCUGUGUUUAUCUGAUGCUUGGCGCGGUGGCACUCAACGAGCAGCGGUGAUCGACGAGUCCCUGGAGCAGAAACACCGGCAUGGAGCUCACACCACGACAGGUGGACACACGCAAAGGUGUUCCUCUGAGAGGAGAUGCACCAGUGGUGCCUGUGCCUGGUCAGGAGCAAGGUCCUCAGACCGCCAUGCCGUGUCCAACACCUGGCUCAUGCUGGCCGCACGGCCUCUCUCCUACAUGAGAUGACAUCAGUUGCUACAGUGGAUACGAAACCCGUGCCCUGAAGCACGAAAUUUAUAUCCUUAAGCAGAACCUCUUCUCUGAAGUAAAGGCAAAACAUGUUACCAAAGUCUAAUCUUUUUUCACUCUUACUAUCCUCCACCCCCCCCCUUUCUCUAAACCUCUGGCAGCGGUGAUGUCAUGGUGUGCUGACAGUAAAAAUUCUGCCAGGGCAAAGUGCAUGAGGCCGUGUAUCGAAGGGAAGAGGGUGAAUAAUACCAGUUUUCAACGUUGUGUGAGCAGAUGUGGAAAAAAAGGUUGUGUGUCUUCAGAAGUCUUAGUCUACAGAAGUAGAGAGUGCUCAAGUCUUUUGGGGGGAAAGAAAAAAUACACGAGGAGUAAGUUGAAGAAACAUUUAAAAGGAAGUGGGAGAUUCUGUAAUGUAAUUGGAAUGGAAAUAGCAUUAUGGACGGUGCUUACUUGUCUUUCAGAGGCCAACGGCAUAGAAGGGGUGUUCAUAGAAGAGCACAAAUGAGGUAUGAUAACGGUAAACAGGAAUGUGUUAAACAAUCAUAUCCUGUAACUUUGAAGAAGGAACUGAAGUUAUUCACUUCUGUUUGAAACUCAUAUCAAGUGUUAAAAGAUGUGCACCAUAUACCCCUGUGAUGAAAUCAGUCGACCUGGGAUUUUUGCAGCCAGAUCAACAGUCGUGGAAGUUGCAUAAUUCAUGUGAUUUUGUAGCAUUCCUUUCCUUGUUGUCAUACUUGUCUUUGGUGUUUUUUAACAUCUCCUUGUAAAAUAAACCCAUCUUUCUCUGGAAAAAUCUACUUCCU
rnacentral:lncRNA from 1 species